CCUCGAUGCAUUCUAGGUAAAUUAAGUUUUAAUGUUACUAAUAUGUCACAUUCGAUAGUCUUUUAGGGUUGGUACAUGUUACCCAAUUCAUUUUCAUGUAUACUGUGUUUUAUUGCAAUUUGCUGGAUCCCGGUAUACUAAUUUGACCUAGCUGGAUGACCUAGUUCCCUCGGUUUUUGGGUUUCGAUCAAAACUACAAACUUGUAGAUCU
rnacentral:misc_RNA from 1 species